UACACUCCUGCGGGAGGCAGCAGUGGGGAAUUUUGGACAAUGGGCGAAAGCCUGAUCCAGCCAUGCCGCGUGCAGGAUGAAGGCCUUCGGGUUGUAAACUGCUUUUGUACGGAACGAAACGGCCUUUUCUAAUAAAGAGGGCUAAUGACGGUACCGUAAGAAUAAGCACCGGCUAACUACGUGCCAGCAGCCGCGGUAAUACGUAGGGUGCAAGCGUUAAUCGGAAUUACUGGGCGUAAAGCGUGCGCAGGCGGUUAUGUAAGACAGUUGUGAAAUCCCCGGGCUCAACCUGGGAACUGCAUCUGUGACUGCAUAGCUAGAGUACGGUAGAGGGGGAUGGAAUUCCGCGUGUAGCAGUGAAAUGCGUAGAUAUGCGGAGGAACACCGAUGGCGAAGGCAAUCCCCUGGACCUGUACUGACGCUCAUGCACGAAAGCGUGGGGAGCAAACAGGAUUAGAAACCCCAGUAGUCCCAUGAU
rnacentral:rRNA from 1 species